rnacentral:rRNA from 1 species
CCUACGGGAGGCAGCAGUGAGGAAUAUUGGUCAAUGGGCGAGAGCCUGAACCAGCCAAGUCGCGUGAGGGAGUACUGCCCUAUGGGUUGUAAACCUCUUUUGUCGGGGAGCAAAAGCCGGACGUGUCCGGCUGUGAGAGUACCCGAAGAAAAAGCAUCGGCUAACUCCGUGCCAGCAGCCGCGGUAAUACGGAGGAUGCGAGCGUUAUCCGGAUUUAUUGGGGUUAAAGGGUUCGCAGGCUGAUGUUUACGUCAGCGGUCAAAUCGUGGGGCUAAACCCCAUCCAGCCGUUGAAACUGGGGAUCUAGAGUGUGCGAGAGGUAUGCGGAAUGCGUGGUGUAGCGGUGAAAUGCAUAGAUAUCACGCAGAACCCCGAUUGCGAAGGCAGCAUACCGGUGCACAACUGACGCUCAGGCACGAAAGCGUGGGUAUCGAACAGGAUUAGAUACCCGUGUAGUC